rnacentral:rRNA from 1 species
CCAAAAAUCUAGCCCUCCCCCCCCCCCUUUUUUUUUAACCCCCAAAUAAAAUAUUUUAGUAGCCUAGUAAAGAAGAUUAAAAAACUUUUAAGAGCAAUAAAUUUGUACCGUAAGGGAAAGAUGAAAUAAAAAUGAAACAAAUCUUAAAUACAAAAAAGUAGAGCUUCACCCUCGUACCUUUUGCAUCAUGGUUUAGCUAGUCUAAUUAGGCAAAAAGACCUUAAGUCUAACUUCCCGAAACUAAGUGAGCUAAUUUAGGGCCGCUUAAUGAGCUAACCCGUCUGUGUUGCAAAAUAGUGGGAAGACCCUAAAAUAGAGGUGAUAAACCUAACGAACAUAGUCAUAGCUGGUUUCUCAAGAAAAGAAUUUUAGUCCAACCUAAAGUAAUCUCACCUCAACUAAUUAACCACGCUACUUUAGAGCAACUCAAAUGAGGUACAGCCCAUUUGACACAGGAUACAACCUUCACUUACGGGUAAAACCCAACUCACAUCUUAAAGUAGGCCUAAGAGCAGCCACCUUUUAAAAAGCGUCAAAGCUUAGCCUUGAGCGUAUUAAUUCAAAAACCCAUAUUAACCCCUUCAACUAUAUUGAGAACUUCUAUAACCCUAUAGAACCUUUUAUGCUAAAACUAGUAACAAGAGAAAACCCUCUCAUAAUGCAAACAUAAGCCAGCAAGAACCCAUCACUGGCAAUUAACAGCCCUAAACAAAAGUAGCAACCUCACUAGAAAACUCUACUUACACCAACUGUUAACCUAACACUAGAGCAUUUCAAGAAAGAUUAAAAGAAAAAGAAGGAACUCGGCAAAUCCAAGUCCCGCCUGUUUACCAAAAACAUCGCCUCUUGCUCCCCAUAAGAGGUCCAACCUGCCCAGUGACCCUGUUCAACGGCCGCGGUAUCCUAACCGUGCAAAGGUAGCGUAAUCACUUGUUUUCUAAAUAAAGACCUGUAUGAAGGGUAUAACGAGGACUAAACUGUCUCCUUUUUCCAAUCAGUGAACCUAAUCUCCCCGUGAAAAAGCGGGGAUUUCCAUAUAAGACGAGAAGACCCUGUGGAGCUUAAAACAUUAUAACACCUGCCACUCACCUUUAAACCACUAUAGUAUUACCCAACGGCACCUUGAUUUUAUGUUUUUGGUUGGGGUGACCGCGGAGAAAACCCCACCCUCCGCGAUGAAAGGGGAUACUCCCCCUUAACAAUAAGUUACAACUUUAUGUAUCAAUAAAUUGACAUCCAUUGACCCAAUGAAUUGAUUAACGAACCAAGUUACCCCAGGGAUAACAGCGCAAUCCACUUUGAGAGCCCCUAUCGACAAGUGGGCUUACGACCUCGAUGUUGGAUCGGGGUAUCCUAGUGGUGCAGCCGCUACUAAAGGUUCGUUUGUUCAACGAUUAAAACCCCACGUGAUCUGAGUUCAGACCGGAGCAAUCCAGGUCAGUUUCUAUCUAUAAAGCGCUAAUUUCAGUACGAAAGGACCAAAAUAGCAUGGCCAAUGCUCUCAGUAAGCCAUACUUAACCAUUUUAGCCCCAAACUCAAAAAAUAACUAACCUCCCCCCUCCC